rnacentral:rRNA from 1 species
GUGGGGAAUAUUGGACAAUGGGCGAAAGCCUGAUCCAGCCAUGCCGCGUGUGUGAAGAAGGUCUUCGGAUUGUAAAGCACUUUAAGUUGGGAGGAAGGGCAGUAAGUUAAUACCUUGCUGUUUUGACGUUACCGACAGAAUAAGCACCGGCUAACUUCGUGCCAGCAGCCGCGGUACUUCGACGGGUGCAAGCGUUAAUCGGAAUUACUGGGCGUAAAGCGCGCGUAGGUGGUUUUGUAAGUUGGAGGUUAAAUCCCCGGGCUCAACCUGGGAACUGCCUGCAAAACUGCAUGACUAGAGGACGGUAGAGGGUAGUGAAAUGUCCUGUGUAGCGGUGAAAUGCGUAGAUAUAGGAAGGAACACCAGUGGCGAAGGCGACUACCUGGACUGAUACUGACACUGGGGUGCGAAAGCGUGGGGAGCAAACAGGAUUAGAAACCCCGGUAGUCC